rnacentral:lncRNA from 1 species
AGUGGCGGGGUUCUCGCCGGUCCUGCGGGUCGCUGCUUGGCUGUGGGUUAGCAGCACCCUGAGCGGAGCGGAAGAGCUGCCCGCCGCCGCGUAACCCCGAGGCCGAGACUCCUGGCCUGGCCUCCUUGGGCCCACGACGCCUGCCCCGCGGAGCGGACCCAUGGGCCUGAGGUUUGUGUGCGGGGCCUCAGGCGAGCGCUGGCGCAGCCUGUCCCCCAUCGUCUGCGCCCUGCGGGCCUGGCCCUCCCCGUGGAAGGACCGCGGGCUUCGGGGCCCCACGCUGGGGGGCUGACUCCUGCCACACACACAGCGGUGGCCGCGGGCCUGGGGCGGCAGCACAGCCAUUCUGCUCGGGCUGCGUGAGCUGACCCCGCUCUCUGUGCACCUACUUUUGCUGCGUUUGGUGCUGAGCCUGAAGUCCCAGGACAGGCGGCUGAGGGGGAAAGAUGGUGUGAAUUGGGUGGGCAGAGACAACUGAAAGCCACAGGACCCGGUUGGCACCUUUUUGGCCGCCUGCGCCUUUGCCUGCAGCCCCGCUCCCUGGGUCACCCGAAGGAGGAGCUGGCGCUCUUUCCGGGCGCAGAAGCACCCGACCCACGCUGGAGGAAACGGUCCCUCUGGGCAGGAGAAGCUUUGGGCCUGGCUGGAGCACACUCACGGAACCACGCCAACGCCUGGCCUGUAGCCAGCUCCCACCUCCCCUCCCACCUUCUAAAAUGCUUGCGGAUCUCACGUGGCCGACCCUAACCAGAUACACAUGGGGAAAGGAAUCAGGUGGCACACAUACCGCCUUUACUCCAUAGAGAACUUCCAAUUGUGGGUCGGCACAGACGCAACCCAGUCUCCUCCCACCUCCGAGAGUGCAGUGUCCUGAAUGGAGAACCCCAGCACCCAGAAGCAUCCACUGAAGGACUAAAUUCUACACAUGAAGGCAAACGUCCGUGGUUGACAGAAAUUACACUGGCCAGAAUCCCCAGUCCCCAUGAGGCUUGUCCAGACGCAGUGAACCAGUCGCAGCUGAUAACACACAGACCAUUCCCGAUCCCAGAGGUGCAUUUCAGGAUUCAUUCUAUUUCAUCAGAGACGGGGUCUUCCUGUGUUGCCCAGGCUGGUCUCGAACUCCUGGGCUGAAGCAAUCUUCCUGCCUUGGCCUCCCAGAGGGUUGGAAUUGCAGAUGUGAGGUGUGUCCUGGAACCCUGGCUGCACCCACAGAUACAGCCACUCCUGGGCCCAUGUGGAUGUAACCUUCGAGUGCCGGAAUGCCUCGUCUCCAUGGAGACCAAACUCAAGGGCCUGACUGGCCCAGUCUACCGAGACCAUGAGACCUGCUGUGCCCCUCGGCCAGGCCAACCCAAAUUCUUUUAAAUAAAAGGCACAAGCCACA